rnacentral:rRNA from 1 species
CAGCAGCCGCGGUAAAACAGAGGGUGCGAGCGUUAAUCGGAUUUACUGGGCGUAAAGCGUGCGUAGGCGGCUUUUUAAGUCGGAUGUGAAAUCCCUGAGCUUAACUUAGGAAUUGCAUUCGAUACUGGGAAGCUAGAGUAUGGGAGAGGAUGGUAGAAUUCCAGGUGUAGCGGUGAAAUGCGUAGAGAUCUGGAGGAAUACCGAUGGCGAAGGCAGCCAUCUGGCCUAAUACUGACGCUGAGGUACGAAAGCAUGGGGAGCAAACAGGAUUAGAGACCCCCGUAGUCCCUGUCUCUUAUAA